ACCUGAUCACAACCCCAGGAGGAUCUCUGCCUCUCCCACUCAGUUACAUAUUGAAUCACAAAAGAGCAGACUCUCUCAAACUGGACCAACCAACAGCCUACAGAAGAGUUAUACCCAGAACUUCAAAAGAAAGAGACACACCACUGAAAAAACAUUAACAUCAGGGAUACAGGACAUAAGGACAGCUUUGGGAAUGCAAAUUCUAUUGGCAAAAUGAAUCAAUCACACAACAAAGAACUAUUUGCUGGAGUCUACAUUUAUCAUCUGACAAGCUGUCACUACGGAUUGGGUCAGGCUUGUAACACAGUAUCCAAAUGGUGAGGGGAAAAAUCCCUGUGGCUGCUGAAAUAGGGAGCAGUUCACCCAUUUAAAGUAGCCCUCAGUAGCUUGGGUCAACUAUUUAGUACUGCUGACACACAGCUGCAGAAACUUUUAAGUGAGAAAUUUGCAGUUUUGUACAUUCCAAAACUGUGCAUGCUAUGGACACAGUUCUUUGAGGACAAGCUAGAUGAAGCAGACCAAACGAAAUACUGCUGGGCUCUAAUACAGCCCUCUCAAAAAAAAAAAAAAAAAAAAAAAAAAAAAAAAAAAAAAAAAAAAAGCCCACAUUCAGGAACCUGAAAAAGGACUAAAACGAGGACACAAUGUCAGAAUAGAUACAGUGUUUGGAACACAGGAGAGCUGUCAUGCAGUCUGCACUUCAAUAAAUCGUGUAAAAAAAAACUCGCCACCUCUAUUUGCACAGAAUACUUUUCCUCCAGACACAUUGCUUUCAAGGUUUAGCUGUUCUUCAACCUCCCUUAAUGCAAGUCUAAAAUACAAAGUAUUGCUUCAAACAUGCCACACAUGAGAAUACACCCCAAAAAUUAGGUGUGCAUUUAAAAAAAAACAAAACCCCACAACCAUCAGCCCACCCCACUCCCAGCCCUGCUGAAAAAUCAUCAACUCCUAAAACCUUGUGAUCCUCAGAUAUACACCCUGUGGAUAAGACUGAAUGUAACAGAGAAAACAAGCACUAGCUGGAUUGCAGGAGCCCUGACCGGAACAGAAGUACUGCAGAAAGAAAAAGAAACCAACCAGUCAGCAGUUCCGAUACUGACUGUGAAGCCAUGUAA